rnacentral:rRNA from 1 species
UACAGAGGGUGCAAGCGUUAAUCGGAAUUACUGGGCGUAAAGCGUGCGUAGACGGUUAUGUAAGUCGGGUGUGAAAGCCCCGGGCUCAACCUGGGAAUGCCAUUCGAGACUGCAUAGCUAGGGUGCGGAAGAGGGAAGCGGAAUUUCCGGUGUAGCGGUGAAAUGCGUAGAUAUCGGAAGGAACACCAGUGGCGAAAGCGGCUAUCUGGACGGUUUCUGACGCUAAGACGCGAAAGCGUGGGGAGCAAACAGG